AAACGUUAUUCAUCAGAUAGAUUCUUGAACUUUCUGAACUAGUUUAGUCUUUUUACAAAAAUGAGCUGCAAGAUAAACUUCAUCAUUUUUGCUGUCCUCUGCUCUGCAAUGAUCGUGUAUGUGCACGCACAGACAGUGACCUGCACAGCCGUUGGCCGGUUUGCUGUGACGUCAGACACGACGUGCAAGAACUACACGCUCUGCGUGUCCAGCACUACUAACACCACACUCUAUGGCUACACCUACACCUGUCCCACCACGUCUGUGUUCAACCCCAACACUCGUCUGUGUACUGCUCCAGCGAAUUAUAUCUGCACCAACUAAAUUGUGGUUUCUACCAGGGUGCCAGUAUAGCGAGGCAGUGCACGGCUCCUGGGAAGUAUCCUAACGACCAUGUGGGGAGUUGCGAAGGGUUCACCAUGUGCCUUAUUGCAGGCCCUGGGCACUUCGCCCAGAUGAACCUCACCUGUCCUCCUGGCUUCAUCUACAACCACGUACACAGCCAGUGCACCAACGUCACCAGUUACCAGUGCGCGCCCGAGUACAACUGCACUGACAUAGGGAAUUUCCCCAACCCUUACAGUGACGACUGCUUUUCAUACAUUGCAUGCGUUGAAGGUGUCAACGAUUUCAUCACAGCCAGGUCUAUAGAGUGCCUGGAAGGUGAAAUUUUCGAUGCAGUAAACGGCUCGUGCGUUAUGCGCAAUGAAACGCUAUUCAGGUGCCAUCCUGAAGAACACAGCUCGGAAAAUAUUGAAUUUAAAGUGGCGGAGUCGGUUGAUAAUUCAAGCUUUAGGUUUAAUUCUGUUACGUAUAGUGCUGUUUUAAUUUGUUCAUUUUUGUUUUGUGUAAUUUAAGACUUAAUGUUAUAAAAGUAAUUUGUUUAUACUAAUUUAAAAUUAAUUGCCUACGAUUAAGAAAUAAACAAUAUUGACCUAGAUAAUAUUACUUAAUUUAAAAAUGUUAAUACUUACGUUAUUAAAAUUAAAUUGUUAUACUUAAGUAGGUACUUGUUGUCCA